rnacentral:rRNA from 1 species
UACGUAGGGUGCGAGCGUUGUCCGGAAUUAUUGGGCGUAAAGGGCUCGUAGGCGGUCUGUCACGUCGGGAGUGAAAACUCAGGGCUUAACCCUGAGCCUGCUUCCGAUACGGGCAGACUAGAGGUAUGCAGGGGAGAACGGAAUUCCUGGUGUAGCGGUGAAAUGCGCAGAUAUCAGGAGGAACACCGGUGGCGAAGGCGGUUCUCUGGGCAUUACCUGACGCUGAGGAGCGAAAUCGUGGGGAGCUAACAGG